rnacentral:tRNA from 1 species
GGAGAGAUGGCAGAGUGGACGAUUGCGUCGGUCUUGAAAACCGUUGAACCCUCACAGGUUCCGGGGGUUCGAAUCCCCCUCUCUCCGCCA